rnacentral:lncRNA from 1 species
UGGUGGCAAGGUCAAUGGUGCUAGAGAGCCAUGCCUUUGCCAUUUUGGUGCAACAGUGGCAGAUGAGGCGUUAGGUCUCGGACAGUAAGCCUACCGACGUGGCAUGGGGAGCGACACUAAAGGUAUUAGGGUUUUGCUAUUAGUUUAAGAUAGUGGGCCGUUAGAAUUUAGAUUUUUUGGCUUUUAAGGUGUUUUUGUAUUUGUAAAUGGACUUUUAAUAGAUUCUUUAUUUAUUUUUAUUUGUUUUUUUUUUGUUGGGCUGGACGAAAUUAGGGUACUACAAUAAUAAUUCAUUCAAUUUACUAAAUCAACAACAAAAUUCAAUCAUUUUAUGCAAUUUAGUCUUUUAUUACCAUUUUACAAAAUUAC